rnacentral:rRNA from 1 species
GACGAACGCUGGCGGCGUGCUUAACACAUGCAAGUCGAACGGAAAGGCCCUGCUUUUGUGGGGUGCUCGAGUGGCGAACGGGUGAGUAACACGUGAGUAACCUGCCCUUGACUUUGGGAUAACUUCAGGAAACUGGGGCUAAUACCGGAUAGGAGCUCCUGCUGCAUGGUGGGGGUUGGAAAGUUUCGGCGGUUGGGGAUGGACUCGCGGCUUAUCAGCUUGUUGGUGGGGUAGUGGCUUACCAAGGCUUUGACGGGUAGCCGUCCUGAGAGGGUGACCGGCCACAUUGGGACUGAGAUACGGCCCAGACUCCUACGGGAGGCAGCAGUGGGGAAUAUUGCACAAUGGGCGGAAGCCUGAUGCAGCAACGCCGCGUGCGGGAUGACGGCCUUCGGGUUGUAAACCGCUUUCGCCUGUGACGAAGCGUGAGUGACGGCAAUGGGUAAAGAAGCACCGGCUAACUACGUG